rnacentral:lncRNA from 1 species
CUCUGCAGUGCUACCUUUGAAAGUUAACCUGGUGAUUAUCCGUAUCCGAGCCUUCUCCUACAGGUUGUGGCCAAGGGGGAAGCUGAAGUGAGAAGGAAGAUGCAUAAAAUAAGCUAAUACUUUGAAAAAUAUAUAUGUCCCAGAUCUGAAAGGGUGAGGACACCUACGACAGGGAGGCUCAGCUUGAAGCCUUCCUGGAGAUUGAUGGAAGCAAUCUUUUUUUAACAGAUGAGCCAGAAAGUGCAUUCAGUCCAGGAAGAGGAGCUCUGUCAUGUUGGUUAGUUUCUCCUUACCCCAGCAACACUCUGAAAAGGACAGAUACUCCAAAUGGGUCACUUCUUCCAUCAACCACAGGCUUAUUCCUCAGUGUGGAGAAGAGUAUUGUUCUCCAAGCAAGCCCAACCAGAGAAACUUGAAAAUAGCUGAAGUUGUAGGAGGCUGAAGUCACUGAAGUUGGCAUGGUACUUCGAGAUUCCCAGGAUGGAAGACAUGGCUGAAAUGCACAUUACUGUCUCAGGGACCAAGAGGAGAGAUCAGAUGAAAUAAUGAUAAGGAA